rnacentral:misc_RNA from 1 species
GAUGAAGAACGUAGCGAAAUGCGAUAAGUAAUGUGAAUUGCAGAAUUCAGUGAAUCAUCGAAUCUUUGAACGCACAUUGCGCUCCCUGGUAUUCCGGGGAGCAUGCCUGUUCGAGCGUCAUUACAACCCUCAAGCUCUGCUUGGUGUUGGGCCCCGCCGCCCCGGCGGGCCCUAAAGUCAGUGGCGGUGCCGUCCGGCUCCGAGCGUAGUAAUUUUUCUCGCUUUGGAGGCCCGGACGCGUGCUCGCCAUCAACCCCCAAUUUUUUUCAGGUUGACCUCGGAUCAGGUAGGGAUACCCGCUGAACUUAAGCAUAUCAAUAAGCGGAGGA